AAACUCUACUAUUAAGGG
rnacentral:tRNA from 1 species